AGAUGACAAGAGGAGUUUCCCCUUAACUGCAUAGAGGAUAUUUUUAAUGUUCCAUCUCCCUAAACCGACUAUUAAAAGGGAGGCUGAAUAUACUCCAAAGGACCCUGAUUGCUUGAGAGAAGGUGGAUGCAUACCCCAUGUCCAUGCUUUCACAAGUUGAAACAAACCUCCUAUAGCUGUCCUCUAUGGCAGCAAACGAGUGAAGGUCAACAUGGAAAGUUUCUUCCUUCAAAAACUUAGUCUUCUUUGGCUUCAAUGAAGACCUUGUCAUGAUGUUGCUACUUGUUCCCACCUACCUGCUAGCCAGUACAAAUUUUUGAGGAAAGACAAUGGAGGAAGUUACCAACAUUUCAAGAUGAUGCCCCAAAGAAACCUUCCCUUGGCAGUUCUGUGUUAAACCAGAUGCCAAAAGCCACAGGUCACUAGAUGAAAGAAGCAAGUGAAUAUUCUUGCUUUAACUGUCCCUUCAUGCCUCGGCAGCUUUGAGCAUAGAUCCAUCCCAGAUAUUUCUGCACAAUAGAAAAGGGGCAUUAUGAGGUUUCAGAUGCUUUACACACCUACAUCAAGAUGCUGGAGAUCCUGAAAGUGACCAAAAAGGGAUAGUAGUUGGUGCACUGGCUUGGUCUUGGCUGCUCAAGGCUCUGGGAGUCGAUUUUUCCCACUGCUUGUAAUGGCUCGAACAAGGCUUAGGGAACUUAUUUUCUAGUUGGAUUGAUUGUGAAUAUUUUCUUAAUAAAAGUAAUCAUGUUA